rnacentral:rRNA from 1 species
GAAGGGUGCAAGCGUUAAUCGGAAUUACUGGGCGUAAAGGGUGCGUAGGCGGUUGUUUAAGUCUGCCGUGAAAUCCCCGGGCUCAACCUGGGAAUGGCGGUGGAUACUGGACAGCUAGAGUGUGUCAGAGGAUGGUGGAAUUCCCGGUGUAGCGGUGAAAUGCGUAGAGAUCGGGAGGAACAUCGGUGGCGAAGGCGGCUUCCUGGACCGAAACUGACGCUGAGACACAAAGCGUGGGGAGCAAACAGGA